AUCGUAACAAGGUUUCCGUAGGUGAACCUGCGGAAGGAUCAUUAACAGAGACAUGCCCUCCGGGGUAGACCUCCACCCUUGCAUACCUUACCUUUGUUGCUUUGGCGGUCCGCCUCACCCCGCGUGAGACCACUGGUCUAGGCCGGUGCGUGACCGUCAGAGGUUCUCAACUCUAUAAUUUAUGUCGUCUGAGUACUAUAUAAUAGUUAAAACUUUCAACAACGGAUCUCUUGGUUCUGGCAUCGAUGAAGAACGCAGCGAAAUGCGAUAAGUAAUGUGAAUUGCAGAAUUCAGUGAAUCAUCGAAUCUUUGAACGCACAUUGCGCCCCCUGGCAUUCCGGGGGGCAUGCCUGUUCGAGCGUCAUUAACACCACUCAAGCUCAGCUUGGUAUUGGGUCGCGCCAGCAAUGGUGAACCUCAAACUCAGUGGCGGCACCGUUGGGUCCCGAGCGUAGUAACAUAUCUCGCUGAGGGUUCCUGGGGGUGACGACCAACAACCCAACUUUCUAAGGUUGACCUCGGAUCAGGUAGGAAUACCCGCUGAACUUAAGCAUAUCAAUAA
rnacentral:rRNA from 1 species